UACCAGCACCCCGAGUGGUCGGGACGUUUAUUGGGCCUAAAGCAUCCGUAGCCGGUUCUUCAAGUCUUCCGUUAAAUCCACCUGCUUAACAGAUGGGCUGCGGAAGAUACUAUAGAGCUAGGAGGCGGGAGAGGCAAGCGGUACUCGAUGGGUAGGGGUAAAAUCCGUUGAUCCAAUGAAGACCACCAGUGGCGAAGGCGGCUUGCCAGAACGCGCUCGACGGUGAGGGAUGAAAGCUGGGGGAGCAAACCGG
rnacentral:rRNA from 1 species